CCUACGGGUGACAGCAGUAGGGAAUAUUGCUCAAUGGGGGAAACCCUGAAGCAGCAACGCCGCGUGGAGGAUGAAGGUUCUCGGAUUGUAAACCCCUUUUGUUAGAGAAGAUAAUGACGGUAUGUAACGAAUAAGCACCGGCUAACUCCGUGCCAGCAGCCGCGGUAAUACGGGGGGGGCAAGCGUUAUCCGGAUGUUUGGGGUUUAAAGGGUGCGUAGGCUGUGAGGUAAGUCAGCGGGGGAAUGCCCCCGCUCAACGGGGUGAAGUGCCAUUGAUACUGCCUUGCUGGAAUGCGGAGGCAGUAGGAGGAAUGUGUGGUGUAGCGGUGAAAUGCAUAGAUAUCACACAGAACACCGAUUGCGAAGGCAGCUCACGGGUCCGCGAUUGACGCUGAUGCACGAAAGCGUGGGUAUCAAACAGGAUUAGAUACCCUUGUAGUC
rnacentral:rRNA from 1 species